rnacentral:rRNA from 1 species
GAUGUACGCUGGCGGCGUGCCUAAUACAUGCAAGUCGAGCGAACGGACGAGAAGCUUGCUUCUCUGAUGUUAGCGGCGGACGGGUGAGUAACACGUGGAUAACCUACCUAUAAGACUGGGAUAACUUCGGGAAACCGGAGCUAAUACCGGAUAAUAUUUUGAACCGCAUGGUUCAAAAGUGAAAGACGGUCUUGCUGUCACUUAUAGAUGGAUCCGCGCUGCAUUAGCUAGUUGGUAAGGUAACGGCUUACCAAGGCAACGAUGCAUAGCCGACCUGAGAGGGUGAUCGGCCACACUGGAACUGAGAUACGGUCCAGACUCCUACGGGAGGCAGCAGUAGGGAAUCUUCCGCAAUGGGCGAAAGCCUGACGGAGCAACGCCGCGUGAGUGAUGAAGGUCUUCGGAUCGUAAAACUCUGUUAUUAGGGAAGAACAUUUGUGUAAGUAACUGUGCACAUCUUGACGGUACCUAAUCAGAAAGCCACGGCUAACUACGUG